UUGGAGGGCAAGUCUGGUGCCAGCAGCCGCGGUAAUUCCAGCUCCAAUAGCGUAUAUUAAAGUUGUUGCAGUUAAAAAGCUCGUAGUUGAACCUCGGGAUCAAUGGAUCGGUCAUGCCAAUGGUAUGUACUGGUCAUAUUGGUUCUCACCUUCUAAGGAACCAUGAUGUCAUUCAUUUGAUGUUGCGGGGAAUUAGGACUGUUACCUUGAAAAAAUUAGAGUGUUUAAAGCAGGCUAACGCUUGAAUACAUUAGCAUGGAAUAAUGAAAUAGGACAUCGCAUUCUAUUUUGUUGGUUUCUAGGAUCGAUGUAAUGAUUAAUAGGGAUAGUUGGGGGCAUUAGUAUUCAAUUGUCAGAGGUGAAAUUCUUGGAUUUAUUGAAGACUAACUACUGCGAAAGCAUUUGCCAAGGAUGUUUUCAUUAAUCAAGAACGAAAGUUAGGGGAUCGAAGACGAUCAGAUACCGUCGUAGUCUUAACCAUAAACUAUGCCGACUAGGGAUCGGAUGAUGUUGAUUUUUUAAUGACUCAUUCGGCGCCUUACGGGAAAC
rnacentral:rRNA from 1 species